UACAAAUGUACAAUAUCAACACUUGUUAAGUACUUGGGAAUAGUUUUCUACAUGAAGGGAAAAAUUAUGGCGGUUGCUAAGUUGGCUUCCUUCCAAUAGUUUUAGACGCUUCUAGUCUCUUAUUUCAUGCGGUGAACGGAAACCCUAAAUCUGUCUACCCACACAUAUAUAUAAGAGGAUAAGGGAAGAUGUUGUGAAGGUUGCACUUGUUUUACCUGUGGGCGGCGAUUGGCGAGAGCAGGAGAGGGAGUUUGCAGUCACAAUGAGAGCCAAGUGGAAGAAGAAGCGUAUGAGGAGACUCAAAAGAAAGCGUCGAAAGAUGAGACAGAGAUCUAAAUAGGCUUUACUAUUAUUGUUAUAGACCAGGAACACUAGACACUUCUUUUUGACUCAUUUUUUUGAAGUGCUGAUAGCUGGGCCCUUGCCAUGAGCAUUCUACAUUAACAUAAAUAUUCAAUCUAGUUAUGUUUGCUUUCCUUGAUACAUGAAAGUUCAAUAAUUGCACCUUUAGGAAUGGUUGUUAA